rnacentral:lncRNA from 1 species
CACGGAGCCAUGCACGGAGCAAUGUGCUCAGCAAUGCACGGAGCAAUGUGCUCAGCAAUGCACGGAGCAAUGUGCUCAGCAAUGCCCAGAGCAAUGCAUGGAGCAAGGUGCAGAGCAAUGCCCUGAGCAAUAUGCAGAGCAAUGUCUGGAGCAAUGCCUGGAGCAAUGCAAUGUGCACAGCAAUGCCCAGAGUAAUGCACGGUGUAGAGCAAUGCACUGAGCAGUGCACAGAGCAGUGCAUGGAGCAAUGCCUGGAGCAGUGUGCACAGUAAUGCACGGUGCAGAGCAAUGCACAGAGCAAUGCAUGGAGUAAUGCACAGAGCAAGGCACAGAGCAAUGCCCUGAGCAAUGCAAUGUGCACGGCAAUGCCCAGAGUAAUGCACGGUGCAGAGCAAUGCACGGAGCAGUGCAUGGAGCAAUGCAAUGUGCACAGCAAUGCAUGGAGCAAGGCGCAGAGCAAUGUCUGGAGCAAUGCAAUGUGCACAGCAAUGCCCAGAGCAAUGCACGGUGCAAUGCCCGGCACAGAGCAAUGCCCGGCACAGAGCAAUGCAUGCAUGGUGCAGAGCAAUGCCCAGCACAGAGCAAUGCAUGGUGCAGAGCAAUGCCCAGCACAGAGCAACACAUGGUACAGAGCAAUGCCCAGCACAGAGCAAUGCAUGGUGCAGAGCAAUGCCCAGCGUGGAGCAAUGCAUGCAUGGCACAGAGCAAUGCAUGCANACAGAGCAAUGCCCAGCACAGAGCAAUGCAUGGUAUGGAGCAGUGCAUGGCACAGAGCAAUGCAUGCAUGGUACAGAGCAAUGCAUGGUACGGAGCAAUGCCCAGCACAGAGCAAUGCAUGCAUGGUGCAGAGCAAUGCCCAGCACAGAGCAAUGCAUGCAUGGUGCAGAGCAAUGCCCAGCACAGAGCAAUGCAUGCAUGGUGCAGACCAAUGCCCAGCACAGAGCAAUGCAUGCAUGGUACAGAGUAAUGCUUGGAGCACAGAGCAAUGCAUGGUAUGGAGCAAUGCCCAGCACAGGGCAAUGCUUGGAGCAAUGCCCAGCACAGAGCAAUGCUUGGAGCAAUGCCCAGCAGAGAGCAACGCUUGGAGCAAUGCCCAGCACGGAGCAAUGCUUGGAGCAAUGCCCAGCACGGAGCCAAGCUUGGAGCAAUGCCCAGCACGGAGCCAAGCUUGGAGCAAUGCCCAGCACAGAGCAACGCUUGGAGCAAUGCCCAGCGUGGCGCGCACCGUUGCCAGGUUGAGCUGUGCUCUGUUGUGCUGUGUUGUGCUGUGCUGUGUUGUGCUGUGCACUGUUGUGCUGUGCUGUGUUGCACUGUGCUGUGCAGGAGGAGCAGCUGGAGCGAGGCCAGGAGCCGCCCUGCUCGGAGCAGAACCUUACUCAGAGAUUCCGUGGGGCUGACGCCGUGCGAUGAAAGGGAGCAGCAGCGUCCUCCCCCCCACA